rnacentral:rRNA from 1 species
UACGGGGGGGGCAAGCGUUGUCCGGAUUUAUUGGGCGUAAAGGGCGCGUAGGCGGUUUCUUAAGUUUGAAGUGACAGUGGGUGGCUUAACUACCCAAGGCCUUUGAAAACUGGGGAACUUGAGGACCAGAGAGGGACAUAGAAUUCCGGGUGGAGUGGUGAAAUGCGUAGAUAUCCGGAGGAAUACCAAAGGCGAAGGCAGUGUCCUGGAGGGUGACUGACGCUGAGGCGCGAAAGCUAGGGGAGCGAACAGG